UCUCUUGAAGCUCUGCAAUCUUUCUUCGCCGUGGUCUGAACACUCAAAAAUGGUACAACAAAACAGAGCAACCAAAGUCACCAAAUCACCAAAUUAACUACAACAAAUCAAUCGACUACAACAACCAACCACCAAACCAGAGCAACCAAAGUCACCACUUAUCAGAUUCAAGCUCGAACAGAGGAUGGGUGGGCCUAACGGCGAUGGGAGGAUGUUGGAGGUAAGAGAUGAUGGUAGUUCGAAUCAGAUUCCGGUGAUAGCACAAACACCCAUUAUCCAACCAGAUCGUGGAUGUAAGACCC
rnacentral:lncRNA from 1 species